rnacentral:tRNA from 1 species
GCGCUCGUGGUCUAGUUGGAAGAAUACUCGAUUCGUAUUCGAGAAUUCCAGGGUUGGAGUCCCGGUGAAGGCA